AUGAACGCUAGCGGCAGGCCUAACACAUGCAAGUCGAGGGACAGUAGCAAUACUGGACCGGCGCACGGGUGAGUAACGCGUAUGCAACCUGCCUUUAACCGGGGAAUAGCUCCGAGAAAUCGGAAUUAAUACCCCAUAAUAUUCCAGGGUGGCAUCACCAUGGAAUUAAAGCUCUGGUGGUUAAAGAUGGGCAUGCGUAACAUUAGCUUGUUGGUGAGGUAACGGCUCACCAAGGCUACGAUGUUUAGGGGGUCUGAGAGGAUGAUCCCCCACACUGGUACUGAGACACGGACCAGACUCCUACGGGAGGCAGCAGGGGUUGUAAACUUCU
rnacentral:rRNA from 1 species